ensembl:lncRNA
GAUCAUUGGACAAGCACAAAGGCCAGGAGAAGAGAGACACAUGAGUGGAAGGAGAGAAUUGAGAAAGCUAUUAUCAGCUGCCUCUUACCAGGAGGAGAAUAAGCUCUUACAUUCUGCUGAAUGAAAGGCCCUGUUUUAUGCAUUGAUUUUUGCAAUUGCAUUCAUAUUACACUGGGACCAAAUCCACAGUUCUCUAAUUCAGAGAUUGCCUUCCCUCCAUCAUCUCAGAUGGAAGAAAGCAGAGCAGUCACCGUGAUGUGCUGCCCCAUCCUCGGACGAACUGAUCACCCAGGAGAAGGCGCUCUGUCCAUUUUUUAAGAAGAUGAAGUUUUCCAUUGCUCCACCACGGAGGUUCUUUUUGUGUCUCAUUAUUUCAGACCCUUUCCACUUCAUUAUAAAAACACCAUUUGCUAGACUGAAGGUAAGCAGCACAAUAGCACUUCAAGGCUGCACAAAUUAAUCAAUACAGCCUCUGCAGCUGAAGCAGAAGGCCAUCACACCAGGGAGGUCUCAUUUCAAGAUGCUCUCCACCCUCCUAAUUAAGCACUGUAUAACUCAUC